CGCGGGGUAGAGCAGUUUGGUAGCUCGUCGGGCUCAUAACCCGGAGGUCGGAGGUUCAAAUCCUCCCCCCGCAACCA
rnacentral:tRNA from 10 species